UACGGGGGGAGCAAGCGUUGUUCGGAUUUACUGGGCGUAAAGGGCGCGUAGGCGGCCACCGCAAGUCGACUGUGAAAUCUCCGGGCUUAACCCGGAAAGGUCAGCCGAUACUGCGGGGCUAGAGUGCAGAAGGGGCAACUGGAAUUCUCGGUGUAGCGGUGAAAUGCGUAGAUAUCGGGAGGAACACCAGUGGCGAAGGCGACUACCUGGCCUGUUUCUUGACGCUGAGGCGCGAAAGCUAGGGGAGCAAACGGGG
rnacentral:rRNA from 1 species